AAGAAGUUAAAAAUAUGCUUAAAAAAUGUUAAGCCAAGACAUUCAACAAGUCCAGAAGAAUGUUUUUGUACUGUGUUUGCAAACAGCAACCUCCUCUGUAGUGUAUGUAGCCUGUUCCUUGUAUUGGCUGCUGGAAGGGACGUUGGAGACAGUU
ensembl:snoRNA SNORA70 Small nucleolar RNA SNORA70